rnacentral:rRNA from 1 species
GAUGAACGCUGGCGGCGUGCCUAAUACAUGCAAGUAGAACGCUGAAGGAGGAGCUUGCUCUUCUGGAUGAGUUGCGAACGGGUGAGUAACGCGUAGGUAACCUGCCUGGUAGCGGGGGAUAACUAUUGGAAACGAUAGCUAAUACCGCAUGACAACAGUUAUUGCAUGAUAACUGUUUAAAAGGGGCAACUGCUCCACUACCAGAUGGACCUGCGUUGUAUUAGCUAGUUGGUGAGGUAACGGCUCACCAAGGCGACGAUACAUAGCCGACCUGAGAGGGUGAUCGGCCAACCUGGGACUGAGACACGGCCCAGACUCCUACGGGAGGCAGCAGUAGGGAAUCUUCGGAAAUGGACGGAAGUCUGACCGAGCAACGCCGCGUGAGUGAAGAAGGUUUUCGGAUCGUAAAGCUCUGUUGUAAGAGAAGAACGAGUGUGAGAGUGGAAAGUUCACACUGUGACGGUAUCUUACCAGAAAGGGACGGCUAACUACGUG